rnacentral:rRNA from 1 species
UACGAAGGGGGGCUAGCGUUGCUCGGAUUGACUGGGCGUAAAGGGCGCGUAGGCGGUUCGUACAGUCAGACGUGAAAAUUCCUGGGCUCAACCUGGGGGCUGCGUUUGAUACGUGCGGACUUGAGUGCGGAAGAGGGUCGUGGAAUUCCCAGUGUAGAGGUGAAAAUUCGUAGAUAUUGGGAAGAACACCGGUGGCGAAGGCGGCGACCUGGUCCGAUACUGACGCUGAGGCGCGAAAAGCGUGGGGGAGCAAACAGG